UACGAAGGGGGCUAGCGUUGUUCGGAAUUAUUGGGCGUAAAGCGCAUGUAGGCGGCGGUUUAAGUCGCGUGUGAAAGCCCCAGGCUCAACCUGGGAAGUGCGCGCGAAACUGGACUGCUUGAGUGCUGGAGAGGGUGGCGGAAUUCCCGGUGUAGAGGUGAAAUUCGUAGAUAUCGGGAGGAACACCAGAGGCGAAGGCGGCCACCUGGACAGACACUGACGCUGAGACGCGAAAGCGUGGGGAGCAAACAGG
rnacentral:rRNA from 1 species